GAUGAACGCUAGCGACGGGCUUAAUACAUGCAAGUCGAGGGGUGGUAGCAAUACUACACCGGCGCACGGGUGCGUAACGCGUAUGCAAUCUACCUUUAUCUGGGGGAUAGCCCGGGGAAACCCGGAUUAAUACCGCAUAAGUAAGUAACUCGGCAUCGAGUAGCUUUGAAAGAUUUAUCGGAUAAAGAUGAGCAUGCGUAAGAUUAGAUAGUUGGCGAGGUAACGGCUCACCAAGUCUACGAUCUUUAGGGGCUCUGAGAGGAGAAUCCCCCACACUGGCACUGAGAUACGGGCCAGACUCCUACGGGAGGCAGCAGUAGGGAAUAUUGGGCAAUGGACGCAAGUCUGACCCAGCCGCGCCGCGUGCAGGAAGAAGGCCCUCUGGGUUGUAAACUGCUUUUGACUGGGAAGAAAAGAUUCCUUGCGAGGGAAGUUGACGGUACCAGCAGAAUAAGCCACGGCUAACUACGUGCCAGCCGCCGCAGUAACAC
rnacentral:rRNA from 1 species